GCUCCGGUAACAGAGUUGGUAGCGUACUUGGAUUACCAGUGCAAGGGUCGUGGGUUCGAAUCCCGCCAGAAGCC
rnacentral:tRNA from 1 species